UACGUAGGGUGCGAGCGUUAAUCGGAAUUACUGGGUCGUAAAGCGUGCGCAGGCGGUUAUGGUAAAGACAGUUGUGAAAUCCCCGGCUCAACCUGGGAACUGCAUCUGUGACUGCAUAGCUAGAGUACGGUAGAGGGGGAUGGAAUUCCGCGUGUAGCAGUGAAAUGCGUAGAUAUGCGGAGGAACACCGAUGGCGAAGGCAAUCCCCGUGGAACCUGUACUGACGCUCAU
rnacentral:rRNA from 1 species